CAGUCGCCGCGGUAAUGCGAAGGGGGCUAGCGUUGUUCGGAUUUACUGGGCGUAAAGGGCGCGUAGGCGGACUGAUAAGUCAGGGGUGAAAUCCCAAGGCUCAACCUUGGAACUGCCUUUGAUACUGUCUGUCUUGAGUUCGAGAGAGGUAAGUGGAACUGCGAGUGUCGAGGUGAAAUUCGUAGAUAUUCGCAAGAACACCAGUGGCGAAGGCGGCUUACUGGCUCGAAACUGACGCUGAGGCGCGAAAGCGUGGGGAGCAAACAGGAUUAGAUACCCCAGUAGUCCCUGUCUCUUAUAC
rnacentral:rRNA from 1 species